rnacentral:rRNA from 1 species
ACUCCUACGGGAGGCAGCAGUGGGGAAUAUUGGACAAUGGGCGCAAGCCUGAUCCAGCCAUGCCGCGUGUGUGAAGAAGGCCCUCGGGUUGUAAAGCACUUUCAGCGAGGAAGAACGCCUAGUGGUUAAUACCCAUUAGGAAAGACAUCACUCGCAGAAGAAGCACCGGCUAACUCC